ACGCUGGCGGCGGCUUACACAUGCAAGUCGAACGCCCCGCAAGGGGAGUGGCAGACGGGUGAGUAACACGUGGGAACGUCCCCCUCGGUUCGGAAUAACUCAGGGAAACUUGAGCUAAUACCGGAUACGUCCGAGAGGAGAAAGAUUUAUCGCCGAGGGAUCGGCCCGCGUCUGAUUAGCUAGUUGGUGAGGUAACGGCUCACCAAGGCGACGAUCAGUAGCUGGUCUGAGAGGAUGACCAGCCACACUGGGACUGAGACACGGCCCAGACUCCUACGGGAGGCAGCAGUGGGGAAUCUUGGACAAUGGGCGAAAGCCUGAUCCAGCCAUGCCGCGUGAGUGAUGAAGGCCUUAGGGUUGUAAAGCUCUUUCGACGGGGACGAUAAUGACGGUACCCGUAGAAGAAGCCCCGGCUAACUUCGUGCCAGCAGCCGCGGUAAUACGAAGGGGGCUAGCGUUGUUCGGAAUUACUGGGCGUAAAGCGCACGUAGGCGGACAUUUAAGUUGGAGGUGAAAGCCUUGGGCUCAACCCAAGAAUUGCCUUUGAUACUGGAUGUCUC
rnacentral:rRNA from 1 species